GACGAACGCUGGCGGCGUGCUUAACACAUGCAAGUCGAACGGUAAGGCCCUUCGGGGUACACGAGUGGCGAACGGGUGAGUAACACGUGGGUGAUCUGCCCUGCACUUCGGGAUAAGCCUGGGAAACUGGGUCUAAUACCGGAUAGGACCACUGCCUGCAUGGGUGGUGGUGGAAAGCUUUUGCGGUGUGGGAUGGGCCCGCGGCCUAUCAGCUUGUUGGUGGGGUGAUGGCCUACCAAGGCGACGACGGGUAGCCGGCCUGAGAGGGUGACCGGCCACACUGGGACUGAGAUACGGCCCAGACUCCUACGGGAGGCAGCAGUGGGGAAUAUUGCACAAUGGGCGCAAGCCUGAUGCAGCGACGCCGCGUGAGGGAUGACGGCCUUCGGGUUGUAAACCUCUUUCAGCAGGAACGAAAAUGACGGUACCUGCAGAAGAAGGUGCGGCCAACUACGUGCCAGCAGCCGCCGUAA
rnacentral:rRNA from 1 species